GGACCAAUAUGUCGGUCGUGCUUCGGUACGUACUGGCAUUAUUGGUUUCUCCCUUCUGAAGAACCUUGAUGUCAUUAAUUUGGUGUCUUGGGGAAUCAGGACUGUUACUUUGAAAAAAUUAGAGUGUUUAAAGCAGGCUCACGCUUGAAUACAUUAGCAUGGAAUAAUGAAAUAGGACGUUUGAUUCUAUUUUGUUGGUUUCUAGGAUCGACGUA
rnacentral:rRNA from 1 species